CUUUUCCAUUUCAUUUCCCAUUUUCACUUCUCUCCUUUUUUCUCCUCCCGACUCUCUUCUCUUCCUCUCAAGAACUUCAAUCAUCCCUGAACCGAUUGCAAUUUCAUACGGUUGCAUAACAGAUCGGUUACAGUUUCUAUCCGGUGAAGCAGAUGUAAGAGGGGGGUGUUGUGAUUGAUAUAUUCUGAUGCUGCGAAGAACAUAUGAUUAGAGUUCAUGAUUUCUGCUGCUGAUUCAUGGCGAGAAAGAGAUGAAAAAGUGAAGAUUAAAUAGGGAUUUCUUCUGGUGAUUUGAGUAGUAGAGAUGGGUUCAAUUGAUUUUAGGGGUUUGAUGAUUUGAAUUGAGGAAUUGAUGAUGCCUUAGGGUUUGUAUAAGAUGGAUCUGUGGUCGAUUUAUGAGAAGAAGAAUGGGUAGUUUAGGUUUGCAAUUGGGUCAUUCUGAUGGUGUUUCGGAGAUGAAGAUGGUGUUUGUGCUUGAUUGAUUCAGAUGGUUUAUGAUUGAUUGAAGAAUAGGUGGAAUGGGUAUGAAGUAUGAAUGGUGAUGAUGCUGUUAUGCUAUGAAGUUGGUGGAAGAACUUAAUGUUGUUACAGCAGCAGCGGUGUUACAGCAGCAUCGGUGGUCGCUCAAUUGUCAAAUAUCAGUUGGUGGUGGAGAGGAUGUUGGUAAAAGGAUGGUUUGUUCUUGAUCAUCCAGCUAUAUUCUUAGUUUGCAUAUCUUGAUUUUCUUUUUUUGUGGUAGUUUUUUAGAUGAGAUAAAUCAUCAAGUUCUUUGUAGAAAAUAGAUAGAUAACCGGAUUACGCAAAUGAAAGGUUAAUAAGACACAUCUUGCAUUUAUUAAAUCUAGGGAAUGAUAAAUCACUAGUUAUUGUAAAUUUUAUCUCUGUCAAGAUAAACAUGAUUUUUGCGAUAACAUAGAAAUGACUAUGUUUUACAGGAA